rnacentral:rRNA from 1 species
CCUACGGGAGGCAGCAGUGGGGAAUCUUGCGCAAUGGGCGAAAGCCUGGCGCAGCAACGCCGCGUGCGGGAUGACGGCCUUCGUGGUUGUAAACCGCUUUCAGUAGGGACGAAGAUGACGGUACCUGCAGAAGAAGCUCCGGCUAACUACGUGCCAGCAGCCGCGGUAAU